CAUCAAAACCCAAACUCAGAAGCCAUUAAAACCUUGAAGAUUGCCAAACAUCUGCAAAGCCAUCCACAGCACACUGAACACCAUUGGUCACCAACAGCUCUCAACCCUACAUCAUACCAGCUACAUUGUUCGAUUGCUGUGCAAAAGACGUGUUGAAGCAUCAGCAGCUACGUUUAUAAAAAAUAUAUAUUUUAAUAUAUAAAUUAUUUAUUUUUAGCUAUUUAAAUUUUUUUAAUUUUUCGUUUAGAUUGUAUAUAUCGGAGUCAUUGGAUAAUGAAGGUCUUCAACAUGUUGGAUGAAAGGGCAAGGGACAGUCUGACAAAGCAUCCUUAGAAAUGUCUCGAUUCAGACGAGCGGAAACUCAUCAAAUUGCAAUUUAAUCUAACUGAGGAUGAGGAAAAUUACGAAUGUUUGCAAGCGCCAGAUGAGAUAAUUGUUUUAGACACUACUGCUGCAUCAAGCCAGUCACAAGACAUAACGCUACAAGCGCCACUAUCGAAUUCCGAAAAUUUGGUUACACAUAUAUAAUAUAUAUCUAGGUCUAUAUAUAAGUCGGAAAAACGCAAUCAAAUUUUGCAAAAUUGUAAUGAAACUGAAUUUUUGUGAACCAUUAUAAAUGAUUUGCAACUUUUAAUAUAUAUCAAAAGAAAGAUAAAUCGAUUACCUUUCUUUUGAUUAUAAUACUGUUAAAGUCGCUUAAAUUUUUUAUAGAAAUUUUGCAACUUUUGAAAGCGUCUAUAUAUAAGUCGGAAAAACGCAAUCAAAUUUUGCAAAAUUGUAAUGAAACUGAAUUUUUGUAAACCAUUAUAAAUGAUUUGCAACUU